AACGAACGCUGGCGGCAGGCUUAACACAUGCAAGUCGAACGGGCACCUUCGGGUGUCAGUGGCAGACGGGUGAGUAACGCGUGGGAACGUACCCUUCGGUUCGGAAUAACCCAGGGAAACUUGGGCUAACACCGGAUACGUCCGCAAGGAGAAAGAUUUAUCGCCGAAGGAUCGGCCCGCGUCGGAUUCGCUAGUUGGUGGGGUAAUGGCCCACCAAGGCGACGAUCUGUAGCUGGUCUGAGAGGAUGAUCAGCCACACUGGGACUGAGACACGGCCCAGACUCCUACGGGAGGCAGCAGUGGGGAAUAUUGGACAAUGGGCGAAAGCCUGAUCCAGCCAUGCCGCGUGAGUGAAGAAGGCCUUAGGGUUGUAAAGCUCUUUCAGCGGGAAGAUAAUGACGGUACCCGCAGAAGAAGUCCCGGCUAACUUCGUGCCAGCAGCCGCCGCCGUAAU
rnacentral:rRNA from 1 species